CUUCUAGACUCUUCUGCUUCCUGGCUGAGUGAUCUUGGGGAAGUUGCACAAUGUUCCAGGUGUUGGUUUCCUCCGUAGCAAAGUGGGGGUGUUCAGGUACCUCCUAGGGGUCCGGGGAGGAUCCAGAGACUGAGCGUGUGCAGAGCACCUGCCUGGCCCACGGUGGUGCUCCUAAUAAUGCAGAGAAGCUGGUUUGAUGAUAAUAAUGUAAACCUAGUGUUAUCAGAGAAGCUUGCCAAGCACCCAGGGUGGCUGGAGACCAGUCGUCUGCUUUUCGGGGCGGGCCAGGGGCGCGGUCCAGAAGGCCUCCCAGAGGAUGAUGCUGGCCGCACGGCGAGGCAGAGCAACCCUGGGAGGGGGCGUUUGGGUCCCGGAGAGCAGCCGGCAGUCCCGGCAGAGCCCCCUGCGCAGGGGACAGAGCCCCCAGGUACUCUGCGACAUGCCAAGGAGAUAAGACUUUGUCGGGAGGGUGGAGGGGUACCGGGAAGGCUUUCUGACAGGAGAAGCGCACUCUGCCAUCGGCAGAAGAUUAGAUGGGAAGGGAGGCAAGGCGGGGAGGGUCAGCGUGGGCUGUAACAGUGGGCACGUAAGAGACUCUGGAGGCCUGAAGACGGAGGAGAUGGGGAUGUAGGAGGCGUCGCUGCUAGGACUCCAGAACCGACAGGAUCAGGGGUAAGGUAGGGGAGCAGGCCAAGAGCGAGCGUGGAGUUUGGCCACCAAGGCCAGGGGCGGGGGUGUGGAGGCAGGGGAGCGCAGGGCUGUGUGGCACACGGGCUUCCGUGCAGGGGUCUGUGGGCCGUCUGGGUGGGGGCGAUGGGGCCAUCAAAUCCUGGUGCAGAGCUGGGGGAGGGGCAAGGGUAAGGAUCUCCAGCAAGACUCUUGGUUACCUGUUUGGGCUGAGGAGCCCUAUGGGAAACACUAUGUAGGUGACCAGAGUGGCCCCUUUCCUGCGGCAGACACAGCACUGAUGACAUUCUCACCCACUGACCCUUGUGAUUUUUCGUGACCCUCAUCACUGACCCCCCAGGAGGGAGACGACAACACCAGAGAGGCGCAUGAGCGUGGUCAAAAGGCAAGAGAAAUAAAGUCCUAACGUUGAAGCCACCGUUACCAUCUUCCAUCAACUCUGUCAUUGAAUGGUCCUCCUGGCUGACUUUGAGAAGGACAAACGGGCAGCUGCUGCCAGAAGCAGCUGAUGACCAAGACAAGCCUGCAACCAACAGGCUCACCCUUAGCUGAGAUUCGCAUGGAGAUGCUCACGGCUCUUCCCGCACCAGCCCUGCUACUGCUUUCCAGUGUAAUUUGAGCCUUGAUCUGGUGCAAAGCUGAGCACUUUUGGUCCUCAGCACUAGAGCCCUGACCUUAAGCUAUGACAACCCAGUAUUAACUUACCUGAGUGAUUAAAACAUCAAAGGCCAAUAUGACACACGAAAGGGAAAGGGAAAGGGAAAUCUGGCUUAUUGAAAAGUGGUUAUAAGAUGGACUAUCCACUUUGUGUGUCAUUAAAGCAGGGGCACUUUCAU